GAUGAACGCUGGCGGCGUGCCUAAUACAUGCAAGUAGAACGCUGAAGGAAGGAGCUUGCUCUUUCCGGAUGAGUUGCGAACGGGUGAGUAACGCGUAGGUAACCUGCCUGGUAGCGGGGGAUAACUAUUGGAAACGAUAGCUAAUACCGCAUAACAGUAGAUGUUGCAUGAUAUCUACUUAAAAGGUGCAAUUGCACCACUACCAGAUGGACCUGCGUUGUAUUAGCUAGUUGGUGAGGUAACGGCUCACCAAGGCGACGAUACAUAGCCGACCUGAGAGGGUGAUCGGCCACACUGGGACUGAGACACGGCCCAGACUCCUACGGGAGGCAGCAGUAGGGAAUCUUCGGCAAUGGACGGAAGUCUGACCGAGCAACGCCGCGUGAGUGAAGAAGGUUUUCGGAUCGUAAAGCUCUGUUGUAAGAGAAGAACGAGUGUGAGAGUGGAAAGUUCACACUGUGACAGUAUCUUACCAGAAAGGGACGGCUAACUACGUG
rnacentral:rRNA from 1 species